GCGGAGGGAGCCGGGCGGGGCAGCGGAACCGGGAGAGGCACCGGGAGAGGCACCGGGAGCGGAGGGCACUGAACGCACGUGGAGAAAGGGACGCGCUGCCCGGAGCCCCCUGGGGAGUUUGGGGUUGGGGGGGUGUGAGGAGAAGACACGGGGAAGUCCCGGUCCUGGACAUCCCCGUCCCGGUUAUCCCGGACUCGGGACACCCCUGGUCCCGGUCACCCUGGUCCUGGACAUCCCGGACCUGGACACCCCAAACCCGGGACACCCCCGGUCCCGGACAUCCCAGCCCCGGACACCCUGGUCCCGGUCACCCCGGACCCGGGACAUCCCCGGUCCUGGACAUCCCAGACCCGGGACACCCCGGUCCCGGACGCCCCCGUCCCGGUCACUCCGGUCCUGGACAUCCCGGACCCGGGACACCCCCAUCCUGGACACCCUGGUCCUGGACACCCCUGGUCCCAGUCACCCCCAUCCCGGCCACCCCAGUUCCAGACACCCCAGACCCAGGACACCCUGGUCCUGGACACCCUGGACCCGGACACCCCCAUCCCGGUCACCCCAGACCCGGGACACCCCGGUCCCCCCCUUCCCAGUCACCCCAGAUCUGGGACACCUCUGUUCCUGGACACCCCCAUCCCGGUCACCCCAGUCCCGGGACACCCUGAUCCUGGACAUCCCGGACCUGGGACACCCCAGUCCCGGAUGCCCCCAAGUCCCUCCCGGGAGCCCCAGCACAAGCACACGGCCACCCUGAGGGUUGAUGCUCAGCACCUUUUUAUUCCCAGCACAGAAAUCCCGGGGUGCAGCCACAGCUGCUCCCUCCCCGCCAGGCUGACCCCUGCGGCACCCAAGCGGGUGGGAGGUGAGCUCAGAACCGGGUGGGAGGUGAGCAGCGAGCACCCCGGCACGGGACGGAGCCCCCCGGGUGAGCCCCUGCCCCGUCAGUAGUCGCAGCUGCCCUGCAGGACCACGGUGUGAGCCACGUGGUGCAGGUUCAUGGUCACCGUGAUCUGGAUGAAGCUGCUCAGGCAGGCGCCGCCGCACUGGCACGUCUUGGCCACCUCCAGGUCUUCGCAGAGAUCUAAAAUGUGCAACCACGUCCCUGAGUACCACGGAUUUGACCUCCAGAAAAUGCUCCAAGAAGAGCAGGGAAUUCACAGAGGUGACAGCAGCCUGCGUGGCAGUGCCAGGGAACUGGACAGAGAGAGAGAAUUAAGAAGAGGAUUUGGGAGCAAACGGGUGAGUGUGCUGCUGCUCUUUUCCUCCAUCGCAUCACUGACAUUCGAUGAUGAGAACAAGAACUGCUGCUGUUUAAAUCCGCAGCCGAGCGGCAGCGUUUGGGGUCCAGCGCGAGGAAUUUCCCCGCAGUGCUUUGUUACCUGCCAGCUGCGGAGAACACCGUGCCCAGCUGUCACUGGAGACCCGCAGAACAGGAGUGACUCACAGCCAGGCUACACCUACGCACCCCCAGUGCCUUCUCCCUGCCAUCACUCACAUAGCUGAGGCUCCUGUGGUUCUGUUUUUGUCACCGUCUCAAUUUCAGGACUUCCUUUGCUCUGAUCAGGGCGCACACAAUCCCAGCUCUGGUGCUUGCUGAGAAUGCCACCAUGAGGAUUGAUUUCCAAACAUUUGCUUUUGUGUCUUCUCUCCGUUUUCCUCCCUUCACAAGGUUUUUACAGCUUAUCAUCACUCCCAUUUCUUGCUCUGUGUUAAUGGCAGACAACGUCUGGGGCAUUUGUGUGUGUGUGGGCAAGGGGAGCCCCUUGUUUUACCAAGACUCCCUGAGCAGAAAGCAGAAAUUGCAAAACCCCGGCAGUUUAUGUAAGGAAGCGUGGAGUUUGCACCCUGUUAACAUCUCCAAGGUCAGGAGUGCCUGAGACUUGCACCUGAGCGCUUGGUUGCUCAGCUCAUUUCCAGGGCGUGCCCUGCAUGCCUGUGGACACCUUUAGCACUGACCUGUGAGCAAUUAACCCGGGACUGCGGGGCACUCCCCAUCCCCAAGGCAGGAAUUGGCAAGGAAUGCAGUUACGAGGCCUUCCCAGCUGUCUCUCACCCCCUUCCUGUACCCAUGACUCUCUUCCAUCUUCUUGCUCCUUUUUCCACCCAGAAAAACGAGGUGGGAGCAGCACCAGAUGGCACCGGAAAAAUCACAGGCAGAGGCACGUGGGCGAGUGGAGAGGAGCAAACCCCGUCACCAGCAGCAGCCUGACGAGGGUGACGUUGACCUGGUGUUAAAUGGUUUUAAAGCUACCCCUGAACUGGGCUUCUCUGCCUAAUGGGGCACAGCCGUCCUGCAGCACCUUGCUACCACCUCUCAGCUCGUGCUGGGUGCUGUUUGAAGCAGUCUGAUCCACCUCUGUAGCUCCACGGUGUGUGUGGAGGGCAGCUCUUGCCAGCACUGAUCUCACAAGGGCUCACGGACCUCCCACAGGGCUCCAGUGCACUUCGGUGUCAGCACAAGGUGAAGGGCAACUGUGUUUGAGAGCACUUUCCAAGCCAGAGCCCAACACAAAACAUGAUCUGUGCCACAAAACCCACUGUGCUGUAAGCUCCCAACUCUAAAGAGCUGGUAGUAGUCCAGGCUUACAGGGCUGAUUCUCUUUCCCCAUGGUUGGGCAAGAAUAUUCCUUUACGGUGCCCCCACUUUGUGGAUAAAAAACAUUUCAUCUACGGCUUUCCCCAAAUGCUUCCCAGUCACCACUUUGCUACAGGGACCUGUGUUACCCUGUAUAACAACGGGAUUAAACUGCAAGUGGGAUUCAAAGCAGCUCUAACUUCGUGAAGAGCAGCUGCCACUAACAGGAAAAAACAAAUCAGGGAAAUUUAGGCUUGACAGCUUUGAGACAGAGUAGGCGAACUGCGUGCCCACCAUGCUGCUCUUACCUGUAAUUUAUGGUAGCUCUCGCGGCACACUCUAAUAAAGUCAAUGGUAUU
rnacentral:lncRNA from 1 species